rfam:Apaloderma vittatum contig38407, whole genome shotgun sequence.
GGACCGGUUAGCUCAGUCGGUUGAGCGUGGUGCUGAUAACACCAAGGUCGCGGGUUCGAUUCCCAUUCAUUCCC